rnacentral:misc_RNA from 1 species
UAACUGCGUGCAGACGUGUGAACUGCAGGACACAUGAACACCGACGUUUCGAACGCAAAUGGCGGUCUAAAGUAAAUUUUAGACCACGGCUGGCUGAGGGUCGUCUGACCAG